rnacentral:rRNA from 1 species
GAUGAGCGCUGGCGGCGUGCCUAAUACAUGCAAGUCGAGCGAACAGAUGAGGAGCUUGCUCCUCUGACGUUAGCGGCGGACGGGUGAGUAACACGUGGAUAACCUACCUAUAAGACUGGGAUAACUUCGGGAAACCGGAGCUAAUACCGGAUAAUAUAUUGAACCGCAUGGUUCAAUAGUGAAAGACGGUUUUGCUGUCACUUAUAGAUGGAUCCGCGCCGCAUUAGCUAGUUGGUAAGGUAACGGCUUACCAAGGCAACGAUGCGUAGCCGACCUGAGAGGGUGAUCGGCCACACUGGAACUGAGACACGGUCCAGACUCCUACGGGAGGCAGCAGUAGGGAAUCUUCCGCAAUGGGCGAAAGCCUGACGGAGCAACGCCGCGUGAGUGAUGAAGGUCUUCGGAUCGUAAAACUCUGUUAUUAGGGAAGAACAAAUGUGUAAGUAACUAUGCACGUCUUGACGGUACCUAAUCAGAAAGCCACGGCUAACUACGUG